rnacentral:rRNA from 1 species
ACUCCUACGGGAGGCUGCAGUGGGGAAUCUUCCGCAAUGGACGAAAGUCUGACGGAGCAACGCCGCGUGUACGACGAAGGCCUUCGGGUUGUAAAGUACUGUCUUCAGGGACGAACGGUAAGUAUGUAAAUAAUGUACUUACAUGACGGUACCUGAGGAGGAAGCCCCGGCUAACUACGUGCCAGCAGCCGCGGUAAUACGUAGGGGGCAAGCGUUGUCCGGAAUCAUUGGGCGUAAAGGGCGCGUAGGCGGAUACGUAAGUCUGGUGUGAAAACCUAG